rnacentral:rRNA from 1 species
AUUGAACGCUGGCGGCAGGCCUAACACAUGCAAGUCGAACGGAGCGGCGGACGGGUGAGUAAUGUAUAGGAAUGUGCCUGGUAGUGGGGGAUAACGACGGGAAAGGGUCGCUAAUACCGCAUACUAUUAGAUGAGCCUAGGUCGGAUUAGCUAGUUGGUGGGGUAAAGGCUCACCAAGGCGACGAUCCGUAGCUGGUCUGAGAGGACGAUCAGCCACACUGGAACUGAGACACGGUCCAGACUCCUACGGGAGGCAGCAGUGGGGAAUAUUGGACAAUGGGCGAAAGCCUGAUCCAGCCAUGCCGCGUGUGUGAAGAAGGUCUUCGGAUUGUAAAGCACUUUAAGUUGGGAGGCGUUACCUACAGAAUAAGCACCGGCUAACUACGUGCCAGCAGCCGCGGUAAUUC